AUUGAACGCUGGCGGCAGGCUUAACACAUGCAAGUCGAGCGGAGAUGAGGUGCUUGCACCUUAUCUUAGCGGCGGACGGGUGAGUAAUGCUUAGGAAUCUGCCUAUUAGUGGGGGACAACAUUCUGAAAGGAAUGCUAAUACCGCAUACGUCAUACGGGAGAAAGCAGGGGAUCUUCGGACCAUGCGCUAAUAGAUGAGCCUAAGUCGGAUUAGCUAGUUGGUGGGGUUAAGGCCUACCAAGGGGACGAUCUGUAGCGGGUCUGAGAGGAUGAUCCGCCACACUGGGACUGAGACACGGCCCAGACUCCUACGGGAGGCAGCAGUGGGGAAGAUUGGAGAAGGGGGGGAGCCCUGAUGCAGCCAUGCCGCGUGUGUGAAGAAGGCCGUAUGGUUGUAAAGAACUUUAAGCGGGGAGGAGGCUACUGAGACUAAUACUCUUGGAUAGUGGACGUUACUCGCAGAAUAAGCACCGGCUAACUCUGUGCCAGCCGCCGCAGUAAGAC
rnacentral:rRNA from 1 species